UUUCUUUGCCUGCCGCCAUCCACGUAGAAUGUGACUUGCUGCUCUUCGCCUUCUGCCAUGAUUCUGAGGCCUCCCAGCCACGUCGAACUACAGAAGAAGGAGAUGCCAGUGACAAGCAAAGUAACUCCCCCACGGCAUGGGAAGAGCCAGCAUCUGCUGCUGUCCAGGAACACAGUCUCACUGCUGCAGUCAAGGAAGGCCAAGGAAGCCACCGGGGAAAACCAACCCAUCCCGGGGACACUGGAGGCUCACUCCUUCCUCGCUGCAUUCUGAGGCUGCUGCUUUGGAGUGAGAGAUUAUCCUCUGCUUCUCCUGAAAGAGAAGGUGAUAUGCCCAGGACCCUUCCUGAGUAAGAUGUGUUCCUCAGAGGUUAAAAAAGAAAAAAAAGCCCCAAACCCCUGAAACCAAGAAAUCAAGACAGCUCUGGUGGAGAAGCUUUUGGGAACUUGCUGGGGCAGGCUCCAAUCAGCUUAAAGUCCUUGCAAAGAAAGAAAUUGUGCCCUGUCUCUCAGCGUCGACCAUAGCAGAGAGCCUGGGACAUGAAUGGGUGUCAUUAUUUAUCUGCUGAACAAAUAG
rnacentral:lncRNA from 1 species